rnacentral:rRNA from 1 species
AAUCAACGCUGGCGGCGUGCCUAACACAUGCAAGUCGAACGCGAAAGCCCUUUCGGGGGUAAGUAGAGUGGCGUCCGGGUGAGUAACACGUAGGUAAUCUGCCUUCGGGUGGGGAAUAACCAGUCGAAAGAUUGGCUAAUACCGCAUAAUGCAGCGGCACCUAAUGGUGAUUAGUUGUUAAAGCGGGGGAUCGUAAGACCUCGCGCCUGAAGAGGAGCCUGCGGCAGAUUAGCUAGUGGUGAGGUAAUGGCUCACCAAGGCUUCGAUCUGUAGCUGGUCUGAGAGGACGGCCAGCCACACUGGCACUGACACACGGGCCAGACCCCUACGGGAGGCAGCAGUGGGGAAUUUUGGGCAAUGGGCGAAAGCCUGACCCAGCAACGCCGCGUGAGGGAGGAAAUCCUUCGGGAUGUAAACCUCACAAGCAAAGGGAAGAGAGCUCAGGGCCGAAUAAGCUUUGAGUCCGACGGUACCUUGCGUAAGCCACGGCUAACUACGUGCCAGCCGCC